rnacentral:rRNA from 1 species
UACGUAGGUGGCAAGCGUUGUCCGGAAUUAUUGGGCGUAAAGCGCGCGCAGGCGGCCUUUUAAGUCUGAUGUGAAAUCUUGCGGCUCAACCGCAAGCGGCCAUUGGAAACUGGGAGGCUUGAGUACAGAAGAGGAGAGUGGAAUUCCACGUGUAGCGGUGAAAUGCGUAGAUAUGUGGAGGAACACCAGUGGCGAAGGCGGCCUGCUGGGCAGUAGCUGACGCUGAGGCGCGACAGCGUGGGGAGCAAACAGG